CCAGGUGCAUGACGCAAGGCAUUUUGUUUGUAUAUCAGGAUGAUCUACCCACCACUGUCGCUACACUAUCAUCUGCUUAACUAUUGCUUUAGUUGCGAAGUUAAUACUCCACAUAUACAAUAUCUUUCCCACGAGAUGAAUUUCAAGUGAUGAGGAAGAGCCCGUGGCUGAAAUAGCUCUUUGAAAGAGUUGUUACCUGGGGUCUUGUGGUGAGCUACACUGUCUUCAUUUAUAUAUGAUGCAGGUUAAUGCUGUACUCUUUGCCAUACGCACUGGGCACCACGUUUUUCCAGUAAUAGUACUUCUGGUGUGU